AGACUUUUAGUUUAAUUCGAGAAUACUUCACUUACAAUGAAGUGGUUGUAAAGUCUU
rnacentral:tRNA from 1 species